rnacentral:snoRNA from 1 species
CUGAUGUUUGCAGAACAAAAAUGACAGCUCCGGGUUGAGGGAGAGACUCCGUCUCAGGAAGCGUGCAGAUGAAGGCUCUGUCUCAUGAUGUACAGUCCCUUUCCACAACAUUGGAGAUGAAGCUGGGCCUUAGAGUCCACACCUUCAUAGUGCUAUGACUUGUCAGAGUGGACAAUGGCCGAGGAGACAAACCACAUAGGAAACAGCG